rnacentral:rRNA from 1 species
GAUGAACGCUGGCGGCGUGCCUAAUACAUGCAAGUCGAGCGAACAGACGAGGAGCUUGCUCCUCUGACGUUAGCGGCGGACGGGUGAGUAACACGUGGAUAACCUACCUAUAAGACUGGGAUAACUUCGGGAAACCGGAGCUAAUACCGGAUAAUAUAUUGAACCGCAUGGUUCAAUAGUGAAAGACGGUUUUGCUGUCACUUAUAGAUGGAUCCGCGCCGCAUUAGCUAGUUGGUAAGGUAACGGCUUACCAAGGCAACGAUGCGUAGCCGACCUGAGAGGGUGAUCGGCCACACUGGAACUGAGACACGGUCCAGUCUCCUACGGGAGGCAGCAGUAGGGAAUCUUCCGCAAAGGGCGAAAGCUUGACGGAGCAACGCCGCGUGAGUGAUGAAGGUCUUCGGAUCGUAAAACUCUGUUAUUAGGGAAGAACAAAUGUGUAAGUAACUAUGCACGUCUUGACGGUACCUAAUCAGAAAGCCACGGCUAACUACGUG